rnacentral:rRNA from 1 species
GACAGAGGUGCCGAGCGUUAGGCGGAAUUACUGGGCUUAAAGCGUGUGUAGGCGGACUUGUAAGUGCUUUGUGAAAUCCCACGGCUCACCCGUGGAACUGCUUGGCAUACUGCGAGCCUUGAGCCACUUAGGGGCAACCGGAACAAACGGUGGAGCGGUGAAAUGCGUAGAUAUCGUUUGGAACACCAAUGGUGAAAACAGGUUGCUGGGAGUGCGCUGACGCUGAGACACGAAAGCCAGGGGAGCGAACGGG